rnacentral:rRNA from 2 species
GGUGAGUAACCGUGGGUAACCUGCCUAAAAGAAGGGGAUAACACUUGGAAACAGGUGCUAAUACCGUAUAUCUCUAAGGAUCGCAUGAUCCUUAGAUGAAAGAUGGUUCUGCUAUCGCUUUUAGAUGGACCCGCGGCGUAUUAACUAGUUGGUGGGGUAACGGCCUACCAAGGUGAUGAUACGUAGCCGAACUGAGAGGUUGAUCGGCCACAUUGGGACUGAGACACGGCCCAAACUCCUACGGGAGGCAGCAGUAGGGAAUCUUCCACAAUGGACGCAAGUCUGAUGGAGCAACGCCGCGUGAGUGAAGAAGGUCUUCGGAUCGUAAAACUCUGUUGUUAGAGAAGAACACGAGUGAGAGUAACUGUUCAUUCGAUGAC